AGCGUAGGCGGGGAGACAAGUUGAAUGUUUAAACUAUGGGCUUAACCCGUAGUCGCGUUCAAAACUGUUUUUCUUGAGUGAAGUAGAGGCAGGCGGAAUUCCUAGUGUAGCGGUGAAAUGCGUAGAUAUUAGGAGGAACACCAGUGGCGAAGGCGGCCUGCUGGGCUUUUACUGACGCUGAGGCUCGAAAGCGUGGGUAGCAAACAGGAUUAGAUACCCUGGUAGUCCACGCUGUAAACGAUGAUUACUAGGUGUGGGGGGACUGACCCCUUCCGUGCCGGAGUUAACACAAUAAGUAAUCCACCUGGGGAGUACGGCCGCAAGGUUGAA
rnacentral:rRNA from 1 species